AGAGACAGACAGACAGAGAGACAGACAGACAGACAUGCAUGCUGUGAGUGUGGGGGCAGGUGGCCCUGAGCGGCAGAACAGUCAGGAGCCUGUUUGAAACCACCAAGAAGCUUCCCCAACCCAAAGCAAUCUCCUCUCCUGGCCUGUCCUGGCACCUGAAAUUCCUACCAUUCAAGUCAUUUUUUUGGAUUAAGAUAUUGCAUCUUAAAAGAGCUCCCUAUUAAGUGUGAAUACAUGUGGCUUGGCAGGUGGCCCAUCCACGUCUCUCACGCUGGUCUCUUUGUGAGGCUCUCUUACAAAUAAACCGUGCGCGCAAAAGGAUGAUCCUCGGUGGGUGGGACCUGAGAUGGGUGGGUUUUGAGAUGAGCACAGUUUCUAGCAUGAAGCAAUUCCAGAGAAGGGCGAGCCCAGAAGGGAUUCUCCUCUGGGGAAGCAUGGCCGGGAUAGACUGGAAUCCGUUCCUGUGAGAGGGCGGAAGAAAAUCCCGAACCAGAGGAGGCCCAGAAGCUCCUGGGUCUCCUGCAGUCCCGUUUGCUCUGCCCACUUCCCGGGGGUGGGGGGAGCCUGACCUGCUUUGGCGUCUUCAGGAUGCUGCCCCGGAAGCCGUGGAAGAUGUAGAUGGCUCCCGCGUGGUUGUCCUCUAGGGGGGCUCCCACCACCACAUCAUCGAAGGAAUCCUGAUUGAGAUCUCGAACCGAGGCGAUGGAGGACCCAAAUCGGGCAUUCUGCUACCCAUGUCAAAGCAGAGGUUGGGGGCCCCUGAGAAGCUGCCCGGGCCCCGCCCAGCCAUACCUGUCUCAGCUCAUAGACGUACACCUUGCCUCGUUCGCGGCCCUCGCUGAAGUACAUGGGUGCGCCCACGAGCAG